UACAUUUUUUUUAUAAAUGAGGAAAUACAUGUGAAUAAUUCAAUCUGAAUUAUAAAUCUGAAAUGAGUAAACCAAUCGGAGUGUUUAAUUGUAAGCUCCGCCCCUUUUUUGCUUUCGGAUCGCGUCUCAGUUCAGAGGAGAGAUGCAGAGCGACAGAGACACUCGAUCUAACGCGAGAGUGUUUAAUUUGAUUAAAUAUGACUCUUAAGUUCAUAUAAACUGAAGAGAUCAGAAUUUAACUUGCAUAUAUUCAAUGAUACAGCGUGAUUGUGUGGAUUGAGCACUUUUUGAGCUUUCAUUUUGACCUGUGUGAUUAUGUAAAACCACAUGGUGCGUUGUGUUCACUGCUGUUCGCUGACGCCAUUUUGGUUGCACGUGCCUGUGAAAGACAAAAAGAGAGAGAAACACGUGAAUGGACAGCUGGAUUUUCCUAAUUGAUGGCGAGCCUCCCAUUUCGACCUGAUUGGAUCACGAAUCUAGAGGAAAGGACAAUUUUCUAUUUUAAAUAUUUUUCUUCAGACAAGUAAGAGGAUACAUUUCAGAAACUGUUUCCUUAUUUUGUUUGCUUACUUUAUUGAACUGAAACAUUUCAGAAGCACAAUUCUGAUAAUUUAAGACUGAUCAAUACUCCAAUUGAUAAGAACUUUGAACUUGAAUACUGAUUUCAGUGUGUAUAUCAUUUGUACCAUCUUUGUACAUUGAUUGUGACUGUGAUUUCUGUAAAUGAGAAGUAAUUUAGAGCGUGCACCCAUAGUAUAUAUAGUUAAUUGUAUUUUCAUUGUUGUUACUAUUUUUUUGUGAAUAAGGAAAGAAAUAGAAAGGUUUCUCAAUACUCAAAGUAAAAUAAUUUAUUAAUCAACUUACCUUCUGUCUCUGCUUGUUGCUCACUAUCACUGCUACCUCCUCCUUCGUACCGUGCACCCUUCUGAUCUUAUUAUUAUGCCUGGUCCAUAAGUAAGUGAGUUAAUACCCGCUACAUAAAGAAAGUACACUUUCAUGGCAAUAUUUCUAAACACAUUUAAUAAAUGAUCAUUAGACUGAUGUGACCUACCAAAGACUUGUUAAUUUAAAGUUCAUGCAGUUCUUUUUUAGUUGUCUGUUAAAAUGUAAAAAAAUUAUAACUUUGAGUUUAUUUUUUUCUAAGGGAUGUAAUUAUUCAAUAUUGAUAGUUGUUUGUUUGAUUCCAAUUUAACAAUAUUAAAAUGAGUUUUUUUUUGUUUGGACAUAUACAACUCAUAAUUAAUUUAUUAAAUGUACUUUUGCAAAACAAAAAAUCUGAUUCAUAAUUUGAC